rnacentral:rRNA from 1 species
GAUGAACGCUGACGGAAUGCUUAACACAUGCAAGUCAACUUGAACUUCGGUUUGGGUGGCGGACGGGUGAGUCACGCGUAAAGAACUUGCCUCACAGCUAGGGACAACAUUUGGAAACGAAUGCUAAUACCUGAUAUUAUGAUUAUAUGGCAUCGUAUAAUUAUGAAAGCUAUAUGCGCUGUGAGAGAGCUUUGCGUCCCAUUAGCUAGUUGGAGAGGUAACAGCUCACCAAGGCGAUGAUGGGUAGCCGGCCUGAGAGGGUGAUCGGCCACAAGGGGACUGAGACACGGCCCUUACUCCUACGGGAGGCGGCAGUGGGGAAUAUUGGACAAUGGACCGAGAGUCUGAUCCAGCAAUUCUGUGUGCACGAUGAAGUUUUUCGGAAUGUAAAGUGCUUUCAGUUGGGAAGAAAAAAUGACGGUACCAACAGAAGAAGUGACGGCUAAAUACGUG